AUGUUUCAUGCCUUCACCACAUGCAGUGGCAGAGCAAGACUAGCAGAAAGAGAAGUCUUGAUUGUCAACGCUCAAGGUAUCUACACUCUUAUUUUACUACUGACGAAAAAGAAAACCAGAGGCAGACCCAGAGCUGUUGUGAACCAGUGCCUUGAAGAUGGCUUGUUUACCUGGAAGCAUUUUUCUUUUGCUUUUCUCAAUAAUGCCAAUUGAUGCAAUAAAACCUCAUUUCUCUCUUCCUA
rnacentral:lncRNA from 1 species